rnacentral:tRNA from 1 species
AGACAACAAAAUGUUUUAAUAUUAUUAUUUUGUCACCUUAGGUCGAUCGGUAUCUCACAUUCUUAAUUUUUUAAGGAUUUUAUUUCCUAAGUUUUUCUAGGUCACACCCAUAAUUUUUCCUGGGCCAUUAGCUCAGGUGGUUAGAGCGCACCCCUGAUAAGGGUGAGGUCCCUGGUUCAAGUCCAGGAUGGCCCAUAUCUCUAUGUUGUGGGGGUAUAGCUCAGUUGGUAGAGCGCCUGCUUUGCAAGCAGGAUGUCAGCGGUUCGAGUCCGCUUACCUCCACUGAUUACCACCUCUUCCAUAAUUUUAGAAGGGAAAUUUUGAGUUGUGAUCUAAUUCUGAACGAAUCUAGCUUCCUAAUCACACUUAUUAAGAUGCUGGACUCAUUGAAUUAAUUUCAUUGUUUUCAGAGAACCUUGACAACUGCAUAGAUUAUUUUUAAAGACAAUAAGCAUCUUUAAUGAUGCAGAUUUAUUAUUUGUGCAAAUGCAUUAAUAACAAUUCUAUUAAGCUGAUGCUUCAAAAUUUUGAAGUUAUU